UUUUUUUAACGAUGAAGAAAUAUUUGUAACCAACUAACUUGCCCUUAAGGCCUUUAAAAAACUUGUUAACGCCUUUUGUCUCGUCCAAUCACCUACAAAAUUUCACCACGUUUGUCAGAUGUUCAAUUUCGUGCUCCAUAAGUAAUUGACGUCGUGCCUGAUGAAGAGAUUUUGAAUCUCGAAACAUGUUGCACUGAUCUUAUAUUAAGAAUAAAUAAUUUUUCAUCGUU